rnacentral:lncRNA from 1 species
UAAAUUUGGGUAUUGUAAGGUUUUUCUAUAUUGAAAAGUCCUACUAAAAUUGCACGAUGAGUUCCAUUGGUUAUAUGCUUCUAUUUUGGAAGUUAAAGCUAUUGGUCUUAAGUAUGGGCUAAAUAUCUGUGUUUAGAGGACUUGGUUUUUUAAGGUGAUUCAUAAGCAGGGGUGAGGGGCAAAACUUCAAGCUCUAAGGGCCAGUUUGGCAUUGCUGUGCUGUGAAAAUAAUCGUUGUCAGAUUUGCUGUGAGAGAAAGUAGUUUGGCGUUUAGUAAACUUUUUGUUAAAAGUGUUGUUGGUAUUGAUUCUUGCAUAAUCAGAAAACCCAGUGCCUUUUCGAAACUGAUUCCAGCAUAAUUAGAAAAUGAAAACAUCUCAUUAGCUACUUUCCCUUAUAACUUUCUCUCACAGUAAUUUUUAACAAUAAAUGAUUUUAUCAUAAUUUACCAAAUGGUCUAGGCUUCUCAAUUUUUUUUUUUUUAAAACACUUACCACCUCAAAUAAGCAAUGCCAAAUGGGCACUAAUUAGAAAAAUAUUUAAA